AGACCAGCCCAGGGUGGCGGAAGAUUCCAAGUUUUAUCAUAAAUCGUGGCGCUGAAACUUCCUUGGCGGUCCACGACUUGAGACUCCACGCUCCCAAUGCAGGGGGCAUGGGAAAAGAAGGGAAAGAGAAAGAAAGGAAGGAGUCCUCACUUUGCUCCUGGUUUCCCAAUUUCCCAUUUCAACUCAAGGUGCCCAGCGACCUUACGCUUCUGCCAAUGGCUUUUUGGGAAUGACUCUUCUCUUCAAACUGCUGCUACUGCUGCUGCUAAGCCGCGUCAGUCGUGUCCGACUCUGUGCGACCCCAUAAGCGGCAGCCCACCAGGCUCCUCCGUCCCUGGGAUUCUCCAGGCAAGAA